UGGGGAAUAUUGCACAAUGGGCGAAAGCCUGAUGCAGCAACGCCGCGUGCGGGAUGACGGCCUUCGGGUUGUAAACCGCUUUCAGCAGGGACGAAGGUUUUCUGACGGUACCUGCAGAAGAAGCACCGGCUAACUACGUGCCAGCAGCCGCGGUGAUACGUAGGGUGCGAGCGUUGUCCGGAAUUAUUGGGCGUAAAGAGCUUGUAGGCGGUCCGUUGCGUCGGAAGUGAAAAACUCAGGGCUUAACCCUGAGCCUGCUUUCGAUACGGGCGGACUUGAGGGAUGUAGGGGAGAACGGAAUUCCUGGUGGAGCGGUGGAAUGCGCAGAUAUCAGGAGGAACACCAGUGGCGAAGGCGGUUCUCUGGACAUUUCCUGACGCUGAGAAGCGAAAGCGUGGGGAGCAAAACAGGCUUAGAUACCCGUGGUAGUCCACGCCGUAAACGGUGGCACUAGGUGUGGGACCCAUUCCACGGGUUCCGUGCCGUAGCUAACGCAUU
rnacentral:rRNA from 1 species